GCAGUGCCUCGGUCUGCCGCUGGUGCUCAUUGGAGCACGAGAGGAAAGUCCGGGCAGCACAGGACACUCCACUGGUGAAAGUGCCAGCAGUUGGCGACAGCUGGAUAUGGGAGAAGAAAAUUACCGCCCCACGGGGUAAGGGUGAGAAGGUGGUGUAAGAGACCACCAGCCGGCGGGUGAUCGUCGGGCUGUUCCAUCUGGAGGCUGCAAGUUCGCGUAUACCAUCGUCUGAGGGCUGUCCGUCCGAAGCGCAAGCUGCGAUGGAGGGUAGAAUGCUAGAGUCGUAGGGUAACCUGCGGAGUAGAUAAAUGGCAGACACCUUGCAAAAGGUACAGAACCCGGCUUAUAGGGGCAGUGCUUUC
rnacentral:RNase_P_RNA from 1 species